rnacentral:rRNA from 1 species
AAACUUGGCAAUGCGAGAAAUCGUGACCAGGGAACUCCAAGUGCAUCGGGUAAGACCGGUGCUUUUCUUGACUCUAAAUAGGUCUUGGAAUAAGGGGUGGGUAAGGACGGUG